UAAACUGAAAGGUUGUCAAAAAUAAAAAUUGGGUGGCUCCGCCUCCUUAUGCAUCUCCGCCUCGGUGUGUGAACCUCCCUUACUCUCUCUUCUCCUCCUCUAUGGGAUCCCGACCACCGUUGGCUUUACCCUCUCCAUUUCCUUCGCACCUACCCCACCCUCCGGAUCGAGGUAUUGAUUCUGAUGAUGAUGCGCUAUAGCUUGAUGAUGAAUCGGAAUCUCACCUUUCGGAUAGAAUUGACCUCACCCUUCUCGGUCAGGUUCUCGACGGACGCCCCUAUCGGCGACAGGCAGUUACUGAAGCCCUUGUUGUAGCUUGGAACUUAAGGUGUGGUGUCGAAAUCGGUCCAUUGACCCAUCAUCAGUUCCUCUUCCAUUUUCAACAUACGAUGGACAUUCAGAAUGUCCUAGAUGAAGGGCCAUGGGCUAUAUCGGGCAAUCUUCUUCUUUUGGCACCGUGGACUGGAAGAGGCAAUUUCACGGAGGUCCCCGAGAACUUCUACAUUUAGAAUUUGCGAUGAAGUUAGCAGAGAAGAUUGGUACACCGCUGCGAGCUAUGCUGAUCAAGGGUACUCAUUUUGGGGAUAAAUUUGAAUAUCUUCGUUGUCGAGUAACAAUCAACAUCAGUGCUCCCCUGCGGUCAGUUGAUCAGCUAAUGGGGACCCUGUUCAGGUCAGGUAUCAAAGGCUCCCUCUAUUUUGCUACCUCUGUGGUAAAAUCAGUCAUGAAGAUCGACGCUGCGACUCCUUUUUCACUCCUAAACCAGUCCAAAUCCUCCCCAACCCUCCUUUCGCCCAUCUCUCAGAGCCUCAUUACCACCGCCCCGUUUGAUUGAACAAGCUCAUUCAAUGGCCUACCCUAUAUCACCACCAACAGCUCUAAACCAACCCCCCACCCUCUACACCUGCCGCUGAUAAUCCUUCCUUCACCGGAGCUGCAACUGAGAAUCGACAAGCCCCAGAACAAAGUUUUCAGAUGUCAGGAAAUCCACCACGUGGCAUCUCACCUAUGGUUACACCCUCAACGGCUCUGGCUAACCCUGCCAUCACCCAACACGUCCUUCCUAAUUCUUUUGAGCAUAAUCACUUCACUAUAGCCAAUACGAAUCCCCUCACUCCAAAACCUCCAGGAUUUGUCCUAUCCUCUACCUCACAUCAAAAUUUUGGUAACAAUCCUACAUCACUUUCAGUGCCCCACAUACCUGACCCAAAUACUCAACUCCUCUUAUCCCAACUGUUUCAACAACUCGAUGCGUCAAAUACAAUACUUUCCCUCCUACCUCUCCUUUCUGGAAUCCAACUCUCCCACCCCGGCUCAACACUAAGCUCACUUUCGCUCCCUUCAAACCAAAUACCAUACACCACUAUGGGCCUUCCCUCCCAGAUGGGCUCCACUAAUAUAACUCUUCCUUUCAAUAUUUCCUUACACAACCCUUUGGAGAAUUUCUCCUCCAUUACACAACAAAUGCCGUCUCUGGAAGGACCAAUAGCUUCACCUUCCCCUGCAGUUCAACUUCCAUUGUCCCUUCCUCCUCCAUCUGAACCUCAUACCAAUAUUCCCCCUCCUUUACCUACCCCACCCAAAAUUACACAGAUGCUAAAACUAGCUUAGUGUAUCCUGUCCUCACGUGGAUCCAUUUUUCCUUACUGGUGUAUAUGGAGAUCCAGUGAAGGCCAACCGUCAAGCCGUUUGGGAUCAGAUAAUCUCCUUUGGAGAAUAUAGAUCUGAACAAUGGAUUUGCGUAGGAGAUUUUAAUUCUUUCUUAGCUUGGCAUGAGAAGGAAGGAGGAAAUUGUUUAGGGGCCCGAGAUGUUGCUAAUUUCAGAAAUAUGAUGGAUUCCUACACCUAAUGGAUAUGGGGGCUCAUGGUCCUCGAUUUACUUUGUCUAAUAAACGCCAAGCACCGACUAACAUCAGAAUUCGACUUGACAGGGCUCUUUGCAACCAAGCUUUGAGAACUGCUCAUGGCAACGCUGCUGCCUUUGUUAAAUCUGCUAUUGGAUCAGAUCACAACCCAUUGCUAGUUGAUACUAAUAGUGGAAUCACUCCCGGUAGAAGGCCGUUCCGUUUUGAAGCCAUGUGGUUUCGCCACCCAGAUUUUCCUUCCAUAGCUUUCAAUGCCUGGUCAAUUCAAUGUAACGGUCCAGCGACUGAUAUCCUAGAGAAGAAGAUAGCAAAUUGUAAGCCUAUAUUUCAGCAUUGGAAUCGAACAGUUUUUGGUAAAAUUCAACUUAAUAUUCAAAUUCUUCUAGAAGAUCUUGAGUUUAUCCAAGGACAGCCUAUUUCUGAUUCUGCUCAGAUUCGAGAGAAGCAAAUCAUUGCCCAGUUGGAGGAGGAGCUUGAACGACAAGAAAUAAUGUGGCAUCAAAAGUCGUGAAUCCAAUGGCUUCAGAAUGGUGAUAGGAACUCUGCCUUUUUUCAUGCUUCUACCAUUCAAAGGCGAAACUGUAAUAAAGUGUUGAAGCUUCGCCUCUCCUCAGGUGUGUGGACAGAAUCGAGCAAAGAAGUCACCUCGGAGAUUUUUCAGCAUUUUACGCAUGCUUUUUACCUCUGAAACUAUCAAUGAGGAGGCUCUAAAUGAGGGCUAUGGAGUUUUCUUCUAUCAAACAUUCAAACCUUUGGUACAACUUACAACAUUGUAGUAGGUUUGGUGGUAGAUGAAAAGCACGUGAGUGGCUAUUGGUUUGUGUUUGGUGGUUCUUUGCUUUGUGUAUUGAAUCGCUACGCACAAAUACCUAUGUGGGUUGCGAUGGGGGCAAAAGUACCUUCAUUAAGAGCAUGAUAAGGUUCCUGUGUUGCUUACCUAGUUGGAUGGAAAGACGUUCCCCCUUGAAUCUCCUUUCGUCUCUUGCCUGCCCUUGUGGUGGUGUGAGGUGGAUUGGAAUAUGAUGCAUAUGCUACCAUGCCAUCAUAAGUCCAUUUGCUUUGUGUCAGUGGUGCAUGUGCAUUGUGUGUGCUUUAGGAGUUGCAUGUUGAUUACAUAAUUUUCAAUAUGGAAUUGUGUUCGGAUUGUUACUUUUGUGCUUAGUGGGGCCAUCAAGAAUUUAUUUAUCAUUCCUCCUUUCAUAAAAGUAGGUUGAGUGAUGGAUGUAAUGCAUGUAAUACGCUUUAUUAUAAUCAAGCAUAACCAGUCAAUCUUUUUGCAUGGAUCUUUGUGUUUGUCCUUGUUUGAA